GGUUAAGCGACUAAGCGUACACGGUGGAUGCCCUGGCAGUCAGAGGCGAUGAAGGACGUGCUAAUCUGCGAAAAGCGUCGGUAAGGUGAUAUGAACCGUUAUAACCGGCGAUGUCCGAAUGGGGAAACCCAGUGCAAUUCGUUGCACUAUCGUUAACUGAAUACAUAGGUUAACGAGGCGAACCGGGGGAACUGAAACAUCUAAGUACCCCGAGGAAAAGAAAUCAACCGAGAUUCCCCCAGUAGCGGCGAGCGAACGGGGAGCAGCCCAGAGUCUGAAUCAGCUUGUGUGUUAGUGGAACGGUCUGGAAAGUCCGACGGUACAGGGUGAUAGUCCCGUACACCAAAAUGCACAGGUUGUGAACUCGAAGAGUAGGGCGGGACACGUGGUAUCCUGUCUGAAUAUGGGGGGACCAUCCUCCAAGGCUAAAUACUCCUGACUGACCGAUAGUGAACCAGUACCGUGAGGGAAAGGCGAAAAGAACCCCGGCGAGGGGAGUGAAAAAGAACCUGAAACCGUGUACGUACAAGCAGUGGGAGCACCUUCGGGUGUGACUGCGUACCUUUUGUAUAAUGGGUCAGCGACUUAUAUUCUGUAGCAAGGUUAACCGUAUAGGGGAGCCGCAGGGAAACCGAGUCUUAACUGGGCGUUAAGUUGCAGGGUAUAGACCCGAAACCCGGUGAUCUAGCCAUGGGCAGGUUGAAGGUUGGGUAACACUAACUGGAGGACCGAACCGACUAAUGUUGAAAAAUUAGCGGAUGACUUGUGGCUGGGGGUGAAAGGCCAAUCAAACCGGGAGAUAGCUGGUUCUCCCCGAAAGCUAUUUAGGUAGCGCCUCGUGAACUCAUCUUCGGGGGUAGAGCACUGUUUCGGCUAGGGGGUCAUCCCGACUUACCAACCCGAUGCAAACUACGAAUACCGAAGAAUGUUAUCACGGGAGACACACGGCGGGUGCUAACGUCCGUCGUGAAGAGGGAAACAACCCAGACCGCCAGCUAAGGUCCCAAAGUCAUGGUUAAGUGGGAAACGAUGUGGGAAGGCACAGACAGCCAGGAUGUUGGCUUAGAAGCAGCCAUCAUUUAAAGAAAGCGUAAUAGCUCACUGGUCGAGUCGGCCUGCGCGGAAGAUGUAACGGGGCUAAACCAUGCACCGAAGCUGCGGCAGCGACACUAUGUGUUGUUGGGUAGGGGAGCGUUCUGUAAGCCUGCGAAGGUGUGCUGUGAGGCAUGCUGGAGGUAUCAGAAGUGCGAAUGCUGACAUAAGUAACGAUAAAGCGGGUGAAAAGCCCGCUCGCCGGAAGACCAAGGGUUCCUGUCCAACGUUAAUCGGGGCAGGGUGAGUCGACCCCUAAGGCGAGGCCGAAAGGCGUAGUCGAUGGGAAACAGGUUAAUAUUCCUGUACUUGGUGUUACUGCGAAGGGGGGACGGAGAAGGCUAUGUUAGCCGGGCGACGGUUGUCCCGGUUUAAGCAUGUAGGCUGAUUGUCCAGGCAAAUCCGGAUAAUCAAGGCUGAGGUGUGAUGACGAGGCACUACGGUGCUGAAGUAACAAAUGCCCUGCUUCCAGGAAAAGCCUCUAAGCAUCAGGUAACAUUAAAUCGUACCCCAAACCGACACAGGUGGUCAGGUAGAGAAUACCAAGGCGCUUGAGAGAACUCGGGUGAAGGAACUAGGCAAAAUGGUGCCGUAACUUCGGGAGAAGGCACGCUGGUGUGUAGGUGAAGUCCCUGCGGAUGGAGCUGAGACCAGUCGAAGAUACCAGCUGGCUGCAACUGUUUAUUAAAAACACAGCACUGUGCAAACACGAAAGUGGACGUAUACGGUGUGACGCCUGCCCGGUGCCGGAAGGUUAAUUGAUGGGGUUAUCCGUAAGGAGAAGCUCUUGAUCGAAGCCCCGGUAAACGGCGGCCGUAACUAUAACGGUCCUAAGGUAGCGAAAUUCCUUGUCGGGUAAGUUCCGACCUGCACGAAUGGCGUAAUGAUGGCCAGGCUGUCUCCACCCGAGACUCAGUGAAAUUGAACUCGCUGUGAAGAUGCAGUGUACCCGCGGCAAGACGGAAAGACCCCGUGAACCUUUACUAUAGCUUGACACUGAACAUUGAGCCUUGAUGUGUAGGAUAGGUGGGAGGCUUUGAAGCGUGGACGCCAGUCUGCGUGGAGCCAACCUUGAAAUACCACCCUUUAAUGUUUGAUGUUCUAACGUUGGCCCCUGACCGGGGUUGCGGACAGUGUCUGGUGGGUAGUUUGACUGGGGCGGUCUCCUCCCAAAGCGUAACGGAGGAGCACGAAGGUUAGCUAAUCCUGGUCGGACAUCAGGAGGUUAGUGCAAUGGCAUAAGCUAGCUUGACUGCGAGCGUGACGGCGCGAGCAGGUGCGAAAGCAGGUCAUAGUGAUCCGGUGGUUCUGAAUGGAAGGGCCAUCGCUCAACGGAUAAAAGGUACUCCGGGGAUAACAGGCUGAUACCGCCCAAGAGUUCAUAUCGACGGCGGUGUUUGGCACCUCGAUGUCGGCUCAUCACAUCCUGGGGCUGAAGUAGGUCCCAAGGGUAUGGCUGUUCGCCAUUUAAAGUGGUACGCGAGCUGGGUUUAGAACGUCGUGAGACAGUUCGGUCCCUAUCUGCCGUGGGCGCUGGAGAAUUGAGGGGGGCUGCUCCUAGUACGAGAGGACCGGAGUGGACGCAUCACUGGUGUUCGGGUUGUCAUGCCAAUGGCACUGCCCGGUAGCUAAAUGCGGAAGAGAUAAGUGCUGAAAGCAUCUAAGCACGAAACUUGCCCCGAGAUGAGUUCUCCCUGAGACUUUAAGUCUCCUGAAGGAACGUUGAAGACGACGACGUUGAUAGGCCGGGUGUGUAAGCGCAGCGAUGCGUUGAGCUAACCGGUACUAAUGAACCGUGAGGCUUAACCUU
rnacentral:rRNA from 3 species